UACAGAGGUCCCAAGCGUUGUUCGGAUUCACUGGGCGUAAAGGGUGCGUAGGCGGUCGGGUAAGUCUGGCGUGAAAUCUCCAAGCCUAACUUGGAAACUGCGUUGGAUACUAUCCGGCUCGAGGAAUUGAGGGGAGACUGGAAUACUUGGUGUAGCAGUGAAAUGCGUAGAUAUCAAGCGGAACACCAGUGGCGAAGGCGAGUCUCUGGACAUUUCCUGACGCUGAGGCACGAAAGCCAGGGGAGCAAACGGG
rnacentral:rRNA from 1 species